GUUUAAAUAGUUUAUAGAAAAUUUGGGCUUGUGGUGUCCAAGAUGUAAGGUUUACUUUAAACA
rnacentral:tRNA from 1 species